UCAUUUUCGGGUCAUGUACAAGAUUACGAAAGCUCUUUCGCUUAACAAAGAAUUCAAGCAAAUCAAACAGAAACCAACUUUGACAGAAGUAGAAAAAAUGAACGUUUAACAAAAAUUCUACAAUAAAAAUCACGCAAUUACCCUUUCAGACGACAACAAUGAAAUGUGCACUUCCCCAAACACACGGUAGCAAAAAUUUAACAGCAAACUUCAACGAUCGAGAAACAAAAAGGAAAAGGAAAGAAGGAAAAUAAGAAAAAGAAAGAAAGAACGUAAAAGAAAAAAAUAAAGCUCAGGAAACCAUUUAAUUUUAAAAAAAACAAAACUAAUUUUGCAGAGUAGCAAAAGC
rnacentral:lncRNA from 1 species